GCGUAACGCUGGCGGCGUGUCUUAGCCAUGCAAGUCGAGCGGACUUAUGGGGUAACUUAUAAGUCAGCGGCGGACGGCGGAGUAACACGUAGCUAACCUACCCUCUGGACGGGGAUAACCUACCGAAAGGUGGGCUAAUACCCGAUGUAGUCAUCCUGUAUAGGGGUGAUGAAAGGUGGGCUUCUGUUUACAAGCUCAUGCUGGAGGAGGGGGCUGCGGCCUAUCAGGUAGUUGGUAGGGUAAUAGCCUACCAAGCCGAUGACGGGUAGCCGGCCUGAGAGGGUGACCGGCCCGAGGGGCACUGAGAUACGGGUCCCACUCCUACGGGAGGCAGCAGGCUAGAAAUUUGGGCAAUGGGGGAAACCCUGACCCAGUGACGCCGCGUGCAGGAAGGAGCCCUUCGGGGUGUAAACUGCUGUCGUGUAGGGAGAAGGGUACUAAGGUGAACAAUCUUAGUACUUGACGGUACUACAGGAGGAAGCCCAGGCUAACCUCGUG
rnacentral:rRNA from 1 species